GCCUCGCUGUCUUCGCGUCUGCCAUCGGCCCUGCGCGUUCCACGCCAGUAAGGAAGCUCCACGACCCUGCUCGGCCCUCACAAGAGGCCCCCGAGGACAACUCCCCGGGUCCUCUUCCCCCCGUCUCCGACACACGGAUACAUGGACGGGGCCCCCCAGGAGCCCUGGCUCUGCCCUCGUUCGUCAGGCCUCCAGGAGCUGCACCGCUGGAUGCGCUGGCGCCAAAGUGAGAAAAGGCACCCGAGGGCGGCCCACUAGGCAGGAAUGACGUCUCGCCCCACUGGCCCGUCACUCCUGUUCCUGAGCCCGAGGGGCAAGAUGCUGCACUCUUUUCGGGGAGUUGGAGAGACUCUACACACAAGGACGUGGUCCUUCCGGCGGCGUCAGGUCGUCGGGAACCACCUGCGCCCAGCCAGGGGCCUGCAACACCAGCGCGAAACGGUCUCCGCUCACUCGCGUUCUUCACAAUACGCAGAAGGGCCACCGGGUGGAGCAGGUUCCAGUCGCUGAUGCUGCCGGUAACCCACUGGCGAGGGGCCAGGGGGCUCUCAGGUCCCCCAUCUGACCCCACGAACCCCGCUGGUCCCAGGGCCCCCGUGGUGCCCUGAUAGCCGUUGGAGGAGUAGGGUCCGUCAGCACCGCCAAAGUGACAUCUCUGCAUGAAGGUGCCAUCGCGACUUCUCGAGAAGCCGUUGCCUAGAAACAUACCUGGAUAGGCAGGUGGAGGGUAGGAUAACUGUCGCGAACCUUCGGGCCGUCCAGAAUCACAGGACCCAGGAAGCAAGUAAAACCGCUCAAGAUCCGCGGGAUCUUUGUCCUGCGCAUCCAGAUGGUGGACCGUCCCUUCCGUGUAUGGCGCAGCACAGGUCUGACUACGGUGGCUGGCAUUCUGACGGGGGACGCCGGUAAAACAUGCAGAGGAAGAAGCGACAGAAAACGAAGGGCCUUCAGGUCGAGAAUACGGGUGGUGAAGAAGCGAAGACGGAAGAAGAGUCUGAGUAAUGACGCGAAAAUAUAAGCGACCAAUACUCAUGCACAAGUCCCCGCCGCGCUGAUUCGCCAGAUGUGCCUCCUGCAACUUCCGACUGGCCCGCAAAAGGGCUGCGGGGGAGAAACGCGUGUGUGGCAGGGGCCGGGAGACACCUGCCACGGACCCCAAAAAGGGAGGCCAUGGGGAAGAAGAGGCCUUCCUUUGGUCACAGAAGUACGUGGGGGAAUCACACGUCCCUGUACUGCGAGCAUACCCCCCCACGCAGGGAGUAUCUCGGACGCGUUCAGAUGAGGAGUUACUGGCAUCGGGAAAAAAAGGGCCGUGUGCGCCCGCAUAAGCUUGUCGGGGAGAAGGUGACUGCUUCAUCGCAUUAAGCCUCCCGUUUGUCUCAGCAGCUGUGUUUUUGCCAGCGUCGCCCCCAACGUCACUGCGGAACGCUGUUGCUGGCUCAGAACGAGACCAGGGAUCUCUCUCAUCACAGUACCACGUCUGGGCGCUGUGUGCGUGGCUCCAGUUUAUUUCCCUCGUGCUCGGGUUGUAUACAGACGCAGUGUCCGAGGACAACAGUCGCCUUUGGGCAUCUUCGUCCCUCGCUGAGAAAGGGAGCUGCGAUUCUCGAGAUCUCUCUAGAUGGUAG
rnacentral:lncRNA from 1 species